rnacentral:rRNA from 1 species
CCUACGGGAGGCAGCAGUGGGGAAUAUUGCGCAAUGGGCGAAAGCCCGACGCAGCGACGCCGCGUGAGGGAUGAAGGUCUUCGGAUCGUAAACCUCUGUCAGCAGGGAAGAACGGUCACUGUGCAAAUCAGCAGUGAAUUGACGGUACCUGCAAAGGAAGCACCGGCUAACUCCGUGCCAGCAGAUGCGGUAAUACGGAGGGUGCGAGCGUUAAUCGGAAUGACUGGGCGAAAAGCGCUCGUAGGCGGUAUGUCAAGUCAAUGGUUAAAUCCCCGCGCUCAACGUGGGAACUGCCUUUGAAACUGGCAAACUGGAGUGUGUGAGAGGAUAGUGGAAUUCCAGGUGUAGGAGUGAAAUCCGUAGAUAUCUGGAGGAACAUCAGUGGCGAAGGCGACUAUCUGGCACAUAACUGACGCUGAGGAGCGAAAGCGUGGGUAGCAAACAGGAUUAGAUACCCAGUC